UACGUAGGGUGCAAGCGUUAAUCGGAAUUACUGGGCGUAAAGCGUGCGCAGGCGGUUUUGUAAGUCUGUCGUGAAAGCCCCGGGCUCAACCUGGGAAUUGCGAUGGAGACUGCAAGGCUUGAAUCUGGCAGAGGGGGGUGGAAUUCCACGUGUAGCAGUGAAAUGCGUAGAUAUGCGGAGGAACACCAAUGGCGAAGGCAAUCUCCUGGACCUGCACUGACGCUCAUGCACGAAAGCGUGGGGAGCAAACAGG
rnacentral:rRNA from 1 species